UACACUCCUGCGGGAGGCAGCAGUGGGGAAUAUUGCACAAUGGGCGCAAGCCUGAUGCAGCCAUGCCGCGUGUAUGAAGAAGGCCUUCGGGUUGUAAAGUACUUUCAGCGGGGAGGAAGGCGAUAAGGUUAAUAACCUUGUCGAUUGACGUUACCCGCAGAAGAAGCACCGGCUAACUCCGUGCCAGCAGCCGCGGUAAUACGGAGGGUGCAAGCGUUAAUUGGAAUUACUGGGCGUAAAGCGCACGCAGGCGGUCUGUCAAGUCGGAUGUGAAAUCCCCGGGCUCAACCUGGGAACUGCAUUCGAAACUGGCAGGCUAGAGUCUUGUAGAGGGGGGUAGAAUUCCAGGUGUAGCGGUGAAAUGCGUAGAGAUCUGGAGGAAUACCGGUGGCGAAGGCGGCCCCCUGGACAAAGACUGACGCUCAGGUGCGAAAGCGUGGGGAGCAAACAGGAUUAGAAACCCUGGUAGUCCCA
rnacentral:rRNA from 1 species